rnacentral:rRNA from 1 species
AGAGUUUGAUCCUGGCUCAGAAUGAACGCUGGCAGCAGGCCUAACACAUGCAAGUCGAACGCAUCCUUCGGGGUGAGUGGCGGACGGGUGAGUAACACGUGGGAACGUACCCUUUGCUACGGAAUAGUCUCGGGAAACUGGGGGUAAUACCGUAUGUGCCCUACGGGGAAAGAUUUAUCGGCAAAGGAUCGGCCCGCGUUGGAUUAGGUAGUUGUGGGGUAAUGGCCUACCAAGCCGACGAUCCAUAGCUGGUUUGAGAGGAUGACCAGCCACACUGGGACUGAGACACGGCCCAGACUCCUACGGGAGGCAGCAGUGGGGAAUCUUAGACAAUGGGGGAAACCCUGAUCUAGCCAUGCCGCGUGAGUGAUGAAGGCCUUAGGGUUGUAAAGCUCUUUCGCUGGGGAAGAUAAUGACGGUACCCAGUAAAGAAGCCCCGGCUAACUCCGUG